rnacentral:rRNA from 1 species
UGGGGAAUAUUGCACAAUGGGGGAAACCCUGAUGCAGCGACGCCGCGUGGAGGAAGAAGGUCUUCGGAUUGUAAACUCCUGUUGUUGAGGAAAAAGAGGAUGGUACUCAACAAGGAAGUGACGGCUAACUACGUGCCAGCAGCCGCGGUAAAACGUAGGUCACAAGCGUUGUCCGGAAUUACUGGGUGUAAAGGGAGCGCAGGCGGGUAUGCAAGUUGGGAGUGAAAUUACAGUGGGCUACAACCCAUGAACUGCUCUCAAAACUGUGUAUCUUGAGUAGUGCAGAGGUAGGCGGAAUUCCCGGUGUAGCGGUGGAAUGCGUAGAUA